ensembl:misc_RNA
UAGAGAGCCCUGGAGAGCAAAGUCCUCUGUAUCCACAGAACAGGUCCAGCACAGGCUGUGGCAGCACAAGUUUCCCGCUACUGCCCUGCCAGUGACCCCAGACCUUGAUCUGGAGGAGUCUCUUGUAGAAGUAAAAGUUUAGCUCAGUUUCCGUGAUCACUGAAUUUUUGGCUUCU